CGACUUGAAAGAUGGCUGAUGCAGGCGGAGUCGGAGAACAUCAACAAGGCACCGACCUGGUCCCACUUCUCUCGUCUCCUCGAUGUGCGCCACGUCGAGCUGUUGCGCUCAUCGAGGCCUUAAACCCGAGCUCCACUGGUUCGCCGUUCGAACGACCAGAAAAAUGGCAGUUGCCUCCGCCGCCACUAUGGCCGUCGCAUCGCUGCCUACGUCCCUCUUCGUCCUCCGCCACUCGGCUACCGCCUCCCGGAUCUUUCUCCCCGCUGCGCGCUUCUUCCGCCCCUCGAACCCCGGGCCGCCUCAUUUCCUAUCACCUUCCUUCCCUUGAUCGACGGAAAUCACUGAGUCGCCGCCGCCGCUGAUUCCGAGGCACAGGAUGUCGAGGUAGAUGUACAAGACGACGAUGCAGGAGGAGUCGAGGGGCCCGAUCACGGCUCGGGUGCUGGCGAAGGCGACGACGACCGCUCCGAGGAGGCGAGGAGGGAGGGGUCGACAAGGAGAAGAAGUUGACGCCGGUUUUCGCGGCCCUCGUUGGUGUUGGUGGAAUCGUGCGAUAUGUCAAAAGUGGAAGUCAGAAGUCAUUAGCAGCCUUUCUACCGUAUUAUGUGUACGCACGACUUCCGGCAAUAGCAGCUUUUGCAUCAUCUACGAGACUUGGUGUAUCUGCCACCCUCCGUGCGGUGAUCGGUGGCUAAAUCCUCCGUGUCUGAUACCUACUACCACCGGACUCUGUGACUGGCCCCUGUUGUUACGAAAUAUCUAUUGAAGUUUACGUGAUCGGACACGAAUCAACAGGAUUAUUUCCUGACAAAAGUAGAGAGAACAUGGAAAGAAGAACAAGUUGACGGUGGAGCAGGAAGCUCACCUGUCCCGGCGUUUCUCCAGGAAACGCUGAAGCGAGUGCCUUCUUGCCAUGGGCAGUUCUGCAAGCGAGCAAGAAGAGGAGUCACUAAUAAUCUCUGAUCUGUGAGCUAAUGGUGGAGAAAAAGGAACCACUAGAACCAAGGAAGAGGGGGGAGUUCCGACCAUCUUGCAGCUUGCACAGAGCGUCGCUGGCGGUAGGCAUCAGCUGCGGCUGGGGCUGCCCGCCGGCAGUGGAGCUUUGCAGUGACAGAGACCUCGUGAGCACCGGCCCGAGCGCCGCGGCGGCCGCGGCAGCGCUGGGGCCGACAAUUGCGGGGGCUUUCUCGGCGGCAGCAGGAGUCCGGUCGCCAGAUACCUUCGUAGCCCCAGCAACGGCGGCGGCGAUGAGCAUGAUCGCCUGGGCCUGCUUCAGUGUCGACCCAAAAGCUUCAGCUGGAGUGGCGAGUCCAAAGCGUGCAGUGUGGGGAGAUGUUCCAACUAAACGGAUCUAGAUCCGGAGUCAGAUACCUUUUCCGGCGGGAUCGCGUUGUAGACUCUGACCUUUCCGGCGUAGAAGAUGGUGAACGGCGACGCAGCAGCCGGUGGGUACGCCGUUGUCAUCGUCAACCCCCUCAACAAUCUCCCACAUAGCAACACAACAACCCAAAGCAAAAGAGAAAUAUUUAUACAUGGAAUCAGAUGGAGAGAAGAGCGGUAGCAACUACAAUCGAGCAUAUUCUCGACAACAAGAACAUCCAUCGCCAACAGCAAGAAGAUUUCAGACAGAAUCCGAGACGUGGAAGCCGUGAGAUCAUUGCAAGUUAGAAGCAGAGCAACCGGUACCUGUUAGCGGGGUGCGUCUUCACAUCCUUCCUCUCCAUCACGCCUUGUUCUUGAUUCCUCACGGCUCGCUAUCUUCCUCAGGUCAUAGGAGAGGGCAGCGUCACGGGACUAGUGCGCCUUAAAUCAAACCCGUUCCUGUGCUCGCACGCCCACGUUCCUUCCGUCCUGGCUCUGAACGUCAAGGAAACGCAACGUACGAGAGAGAGAGAGAGAGAGAGAGAGAUGCUAAUAUUGGAAGGAAGGAAAAUGAAAAGAAGAGGUAAAAUAGUGGUCCCAUUUCUUGGACGACGACUUUUUAGUUUUGUCACGUGGAGGAUUCGAUUUAAACUAUUCCUUUUUUUAA